ACUUUGCUGACGAGUGCUAAAUAGCACGAAACCUAUGUCCAGGGU
rfam:Schistosoma curassoni strain Dakar, Senegal genome assembly, scaffold: SCTD_scaffold0016785